CUUCAGUCUGAGAAGAAUUUCUGUCUUUCAUUGAAGUUCCAAAGGCUUCUUAUUUUGAUGACUUUGCCUAAAGAAGGGAUUCUACAGCCAAAUGCUUUCUUUUUAACAUACCGAAUGAGUAAAAGUGCAAAAUAAGUACAGAACUAUCAAACAGCAACAAAUGUGCUUCUGCUGCCUACCACAGAAUUUUCCUUGGUAAGAAGAAAACCCUACAUUACAUUUCUUUUUGGCUUCUGUCUCUGCAGGCUCAGAGUUGAUGAUGAAUGCAGUCCUGCUCCACUUUGAUUCCAUCUGGCUCUGGAAGGUGUUUCUGAAGAUUUGUGAACAGCAUUUGAAUUUGUUUGUUUUUAUUUAUAUUGUCUUUUUACUAUGAUGUAUAAAUAUGUCCUGUAAUGUCAUUGAU
rnacentral:lncRNA from 1 species